rnacentral:miRNA from 1 species
AGAGUAUUGGCGCUGGGCAAAA